AGGUGCCAGCAUGGAGACUAUUACCGUACAUUAAAACAUCAGAAGAUCUACACAUCUGCUGUAUAUUUUAAAGACUAAGAAGAACCUGCCCUGUUGAAGCUGGUGAUUUGUGCGCUGACAGGUGUUUGUAUAUCAAUAAAAUGAAAGCCUUUGAUGACAAAUCCUUUUUCCUUUCACCAUUGCAAAAUUCCUUAUGAGCAUAGUGGUGAGAGACUCUAACCGAGGACAGAGGGUGAUUGCACAGAAAUCGAGUUUAGAGUUUUUGUGGCAUAG